CAAUAGCGUAUAUUAAAGUUGUUGCAGUUAAAAAGCUCGUAGUUGAAUUUUUGCUUGCCGCCGAUGUCGGAACUUCCGUACGUUCGGCGGCGUGCAUCCUUGGGUGGAACCUGUGUGGCAUUAGGUUGUCGUGCAGGGGAUGCUCAUCGUUUACUGUGAAAAAAUUAGAGUGUUCAAAGCAGGCUUACGCCGUUGAAUAUAUUAGCAUGGAAUAAUAAGAUAGGACCUUGGUACUAUUUUGUUGGUUUGCGCACCGAGGUAAUGAUUAACAGGGACAGUUGGGGGUAUUCGUAUUCCAUUGUCAGAGGUGAAAUUCUUGGAGUUCUGGAAGACGAACUACUGCGAAAGCAUUUACCAAGGAUGUUUUCAUUAA
rnacentral:rRNA from 1 species